UACGUAGGCAGCGAGCGUUGUUCGGAGUUACUGGGCGUAAAGGGUGUGUAGGCGGUCUUCUAAGUUUGGUGUGAAAUCUCCCGGCUCAACUGGGAGGGUGCGCCGAAAACUGGGAGGCUAGAGUGCGGGAUGGGAGAGUGGAAUUCCUGGUGUAGCGGUGAAAUGCGUAGAUAUCCGGAAGAACACCGGAGGCGAAGGCGGCUUGCUGGGCUCGGUCUGACGCUGAGGCGCGAAAGCGUGGGGAGCGAACAGG
rnacentral:rRNA from 1 species